GACGAACCGUGCGAACGUUGUUCGGAAUCACUGGGCUUAAAGGGCGCGUAGGCGGCAUGGCAAGUCUGUGGUGAAAGUCGUCGGCUUAACCGGCGAAGGGCCGUGGAUACUGCCGUGCUCGAGGGGUGUAGGGGUCGUGGGAACUUCCAGUGGAGCGGUGAAAUGCGUUGAUAUUGGAAGGAACGCCGGUGGCGAAAGCGCACGACUGGACACUUUCUGACGCUGAGGCGCGAAAGCCAGGGGAGCAAACGGG
rnacentral:rRNA from 1 species